rnacentral:lncRNA from 1 species
GGACAGGGGAUGAGGGUUACCUGGUUUCUGCUCCUUUGACUAUGGCAUAGACUCUGUAGAUGUCUGUAAUUGACCGGGAGGUAUGUAGAUGACUGUAUCAAGUUAUCCUCCUGACCGGGCGCAGUGGUUCAUGCCUGUAAUCCCAGCACUUUGGGAGGUCAAGACAAGGAAGGAGAACUAACAUCAGAAUCAUCUGAAUCAUCAGAAUAAUCUAUUUCGGAAAAAUUAGAUUCAUCAAAUGAAUCUUCGGCCAACAACUGUUCAAGAACGAUGUUAACAUCAGGCAUAGACAUAGGAAUGCUACGUUUUCUAGGAUUUGACAUUUUCAGCGAUCAAGAAUUACUAUAUUUUGUAAAUGAAAAUACCACUACUAAAAACAGAAUGUUGUAAAUAGAAUAAUGUCUUUUAUUUCCAAAGUCAACAUACUAGAGCGAUACAAUAAUAAUAAUAAAAGCAAGAUAUUUGGUGGCAAAGUUAUCUUGGAGCAAACACUGCAGCCGCAAGCACUGCCAGUGAGUAUUCUUGGGGCAAGUGGAAUGAUUAAGUCCAGAGUUUGUUGAGAAAAAAGGUGAGAUAGUUUUUUGUGGUCAUAUUCAAAAAAUGAAUGAGAUAUUUAAAGGUAAGAGUUUUCUAUUUUGAAAUUGAGACUCACUACUUUUUCAUCCAUCCCAUGGGAACUCUACCUGAAGGGUUAUUGAAAGUAAAAUAUUGGCCGGGCGCAGUGGCUCAUACCUGUAAUCCCAGCACUUUGGGAGGCUGAGGCGGGCGGAUCACCUGUGGUCAGGAGUUAGAGACCAGCCUGACCAACAUGGAGAAACCCCGUCUCUACUAAAAAUACAAAAUUAGCCAGGCGUGAUGGCACAUGCCUGUAAUCCCAG